rnacentral:sRNA from 1 species
GGCAUUGGCAUCCGGCACCAAGGCCCAUAGCUACGCAUUGAAAACGUCGAGCCCAGAAACGAAAAGGCUGCUCGAUUUCUUCCAGUCUGACAGGCGAAUCCUAGGCGAUGAUCCCCGGUUGCGUCCGGGCAGGGGGAAGCCAGCCCCCGACAUCUACCUGGCCGCUUUGCAGUCACUAAACUCGACAACAAGCUGUGACAGGAAGGUGAUCCUUCCUAAUGAAUGCUUAGUCUUUGAAGACAGUGUCGCUGGAGUAAAGGCAGGAAGAAGGGCCGGGAUGAGAGUUGUUUGGGUACCACAUCCUGAUCUGGUGGUCGAGUAUCAGGCGAAGCAGAAAAAUGAGUUGUUUGAGAUGGCGGAUCGUAUUAAUAUUGAAAAUGAUUGUCAGCAAAACCAGAUUGAUGACAGCUGCAUUGAUAUUGUAGCAAAUCUGAACCAAUUUGAUUGUGAGA